rnacentral:rRNA from 1 species
GAUGAACGCUGGCGGCGUGCCUAAUACAUGCAAGUCGAGCGAACAGACGAGGAGCUUGCUCCUCUGAUGUUAGCGGCGGACGGGUGAGUAACACGUGGAUAACCUACCUAUAAGACUGGGAUAACUUCGGGAAACCGGAGCUAAUACCGGAUAACAUGUUGAACCGCAUGGUUCAACAGUGAAAGACGGUCUUGCUGUCACUUAUAGAUGGAUCCGCGCCGCAUUAGCUAGUUGGUAAGGUAACGGCUUACCAAGGCAACGAUGCGUAGCCGACCUGAGAGGGUGAUCGGCCACACUGGAACUGAGACACGGUCCAGACUCCUACGGGAGGCAGCAGUAGGGAAUCUUCCGCAAUGGGCGAAAGCCUGACGGAGCAACGCUGCGUGAGUGAAGAAGGUCUUCGGAUCGUAAAACUCUGUUAUUAGGGAAGAACAAAUGUGUAAGUAACUAUGCACGUCUUGACGGUACCUAAUCAGAAAGCCACGGCUAACUACGUG